rnacentral:tRNA from 1 species
GUGGUUAUAGUUCAAUGGUAGAACAACUGUAUGUGGAACAGUCCGUUCCCUGUUCGAGUCAGGGUAUCCACC